AAUCCCCAACGAGCAGUCUUAGUUCGGAUUGUAGGCUGCAACCCGCCUACAUGAAGUCGGAAUUGCUAGUAAUCGCGGAUCAGCAUGCCGCGGUGAAUACGUUCCCGGGCCUUGUACACACCGCCCGUCACACCAUGGGAGUUGGUAACACCCGAAGUCAGUAGCCUAACCGCAAGGAGGGCGCUGCCGAAGGUGGGAUCGAUGACUGGGGUGAAGUCGUAACAAGGUAGC
rnacentral:rRNA from 1 species